rnacentral:rRNA from 1 species
UACAGAGGUGGCAAGCGUUGUUCGGAAUUACUGGGCGUAAAGGGCGCGUAGGCGGUUCGUUAAGUCCUGUGUGAAAUCCCCCGGCUCAACUGGGGAACUGCACAGGAAACUAGCGGGCUUGAGUUCGGGAGAGGUCAGUGGAAUUCCGAGUGUAGAGGUGAAAUUCGUAGAUAUUCGGAAGAACACCAGUGGCGAAGGCGACUGACUGGACAAGUAUUGACGCUGAGGUGCGAAAGCGUGGGGAGCAAACAGG